GUAACUGGGAUAUGAUACCCAAUUGGCCAAGACAUGAGAUCAAUUCCGUUAAGAUCAUUUGAUCUUUUACCGCAGAAAUUACUAUAUACAAGUACCUUUGUCUAUCAUUUGCUAGAAGUUAUUAUUUGUUGAAUAGUAUUUCUCCUUGUUAUUAGAUUUUGUUAAAAACAAAUAAAGGAGAAUUUACAAGAAAGAAGAGAAAAAGAAUGAGAGGAAUAAAAGGGGAGAAAAGAAGGAGAGUACUCAGAGUAGUAGGAAAUAAGAAAUGAGCCUGUCUCGGCUAAUCAAUUAGAUAAACGUUCUAAGUUUAUCAAAUGGCUUGAUUGUAAAUAUGCUAAACAGAAACUUGUGACAUGGCUACGAUCUGGAUGUCUACCUGUUCGAACUCGAGCUGACUCAGUUGCUUGGGCCUGGUGACGUUGGUAGACAGUGUAUAACUCUGUUAAUAAGAAAUUUGAACACGGUGUAACAGACAUUACAGUUGGGAGGAAUUCAUUUAUGGUGGUGCCGCCGUACAGUUGUUUAAAUUAGGCUAUAAUGUUGAAGGAUGAACUUUGAAGAACGGGUGGUAGGAACAUAAAAGUUUCCGUCGAUCAGGAUUGAAUUGUUUCGAAUCUACCCACUUUGGACGGAGCAAGAUUCUGAAAUCCCUAUUGCUAAUAGAGGCAGUGAAGUUGGUCUGAAUGACCGAGGUAGCGGAGUAUUGUGUGAAGGUAGUAGGUCUCAACAAACAGAGGGGUUGGAAGAAAUUGUAUUUGAGGAAGGGUUUGAAGCUGUUGUCCCAGUUAUUGAUGGGCUACAAAGCCCGUGUAAUCAAGGAGCAAAUGACACAGGGGACAAUAUAUAUCCCCUAUUCAAACAAUCGAGACUUUGGAAACAGUUGUGGCUAGUAAUCACAUCAGUGUUGAACAGUUUGUGGACGAGCCAAAAGUGGGAACUGUGUUUAAGAACUGGGAGGAUCUAGAAGAGUAUUACAAAGACUAUGCGGAACAACAAGGCUUUGGUGUGAGUAGAGUCCAAGGCGUGUUUUCGAAGGGGGAUAUAUGUGUUAGGACCGCAAUAACAUGGAGAUGUGAGUGUUGGGGGAUACCCGAUAUGAGGGCCCUUAGGGAAGCAAGGAAAAGGGCUAAGGCGAUGGGUAUCUCUGAAACUGGAGGAGUUGUUGGGGGAAAAGUAUAUGAUAAUGAGUUAAAUCGUAGGAAGAGGAAGUCUAAAAAAUAUGAUUGCUCCGCAAUGCUGUGUGAGAGUUUAAAUUGUGAGAAGGAGUGGGUGGUGAGGAAAGUAGUUCUUGACCAUGCUAACCAUACGCCUCUCCCUAGUCAGUCGAAGCUUGUAAAGGAGUAUAGGAUGAAACAUUUUACUUCUAGGGUGAGGAAGAGGCUGUUGAAUUACUAUGAAGAGGGAGUAUCCGUGACUUAACAGAACUUAACUUGUUUUUCUUAGUUUUAUUUAUUUAUUUAUUUUUAUUUUUUUGCUGAA